rnacentral:misc_RNA from 1 species
GCAAACUUGGUCAUUUAGAGGAAGUAAAAGUCGUAACAAGGUUUCCGUAGGUGAACCUGCGGAAGGAUCAUUAUCGAAAUCACAAAAGGGGGGAGCGCUCCCAGUUGUUGCUGGUGGACUUCACACUUCGCAUGUGCACGCGCGGACGUGCUCUCCUCGAUUUCUCCACUCACACCUGUGAACUCGUGUGGAACGGGAAGGAGUCUCCACUCCGGAACUUCCAUCUUUCAUCACGCACACUCUUCUGUAACCGAGAUUUAUAUUUCAUAAUCGAAACAACUUUCAACAACGGAUCUCUUGGCUCUCGCAUCGAUGAAGAACGCAGC